AUGGUGGUUGAUGCUCUGGUCGCCAUCCUUGAUAAGGCUAAGGGUGCCGGCCAUAUCCAUGGCAUUGUCCCUCACCUAGUCGGAGGGGGAGGGGUCUCCCUCCUUCAAUACACGGAUGACACCAUAAUAAUGGUGGAAGGUUCUACUCAGGACGUGGCUAACCUGAAGUUCCUCCUCCUGUGUUUCCAGCAGAUGUCGGGCCUAACGAUCAACUUCGAUAAGAGCGAAGUGAUGGUUCUUGGCUACCCUCUGGUGGAAGCUCAGGCUAUUGCUGAUCGCCUGAACUGUUGGCUGGGGUCUUUCCCCACGACCUACCUGGGGAUCCCCGUUAGUGAUUCGCGCCUCACCGUGGCGGAUCUCCGCCCUACGGUGACCCAUAUGCAACACCGCGUCGAGCCUUGGAAAGGGCGUUGGCUAUCGAAGGCUGCGCGCGUGAUUCUCAUCAACUCCUCACUCGCCAGCCUUCUUUGGUUCCUCAUGAGCUUUUAUAGCCUCCAUGAAACGCUGCACACGGAAAUUGCCAAGUACCAAUCCAGGUUCUAUUGGGCUGGCGACGAUGACAGAUAG
rnacentral:rRNA from 1 species